rnacentral:lncRNA from 1 species
GUAGGGAGAAUUGUUGGAGCUAACAGUGCCAAAACCGGCUUAGGAGCCGAUGCAGCCAGAGCAUUGGACCCCUUAGUCGAUGUCGAAGUAGCAACUGGAGCUAGAGUCAGAGUUGUCGCUCGAGCUUGUGCCGAAGCCUGACGUCUCUUCGGCGGUUAUGAAGAUCCAGCCUCGGAUGCUGCUCUCUUCCUAGCCGCAUGCUAACGAAUGUCGGCGCCAGACACUCGCACCCUCGACUGCAUGGCUGCAAUUAUGACAAGAGUCAGUACAACUCAAAAGAUAAGUGA